rnacentral:rRNA from 1 species
AAAUUGAAGAGUUUGAUCAUGGCUCAGAUUGAACGCUGGCGGCAGGCCUAACACAUGCAAGUCGAACGGUAACAGGAAGCAGCUUGCUGCUUCGCUGACGAGUGGCGGACGGGUGAGUAAUGUCUGGGAAACUGCCUGAUGGAGGGGGAUAACUACUGGAAACGGUAGCUAAUACCGCAUAAUGUCGCAAGACCAAAGAGGGGGACCUUCGGGCCUCUUGCCAUCGGAUGUGCCCAGAUGGGAUUAGCUUGUUGGUGGGGUAACGGCUCACCAAGGCGACGAUCCCUAGCUGGUCUGAGAGGAUGACCAGCCACACUGGAACUGAGACACGGUCCAGACUCCUACGGGAG